rnacentral:tRNA from 1 species
GGUGCCGUGGCAGAGCGGCCCAUUGCGAUCGCCGUGGGCGAGGUCCCUCCUGCGGCGAACUGACGGAGGGGGCGGACCUGCUCCCCUCUCGCGGGUUCGAAUCCCGUCGGCACCG